rnacentral:sRNA from 1 species
ACAUCCCAUAUCCGGCAGGGGAAGCCCAGCGGCCCCGCGCCGUGGCGACCUUGGAUCCAGACACCUGGAGAUGCUGAGCUGACCAGAACUGGAAGGCCGAGUCUAUUUACCCAUGUCAAAGCGUCAAGAAUACCUGCAGAGUUCCGGGGAGCAAGUACUGGCCAGCUUCCCAGUGCAAGCCACGAUUGACUUCUACGACGAUGAGUCUACUGAGUCUGCUUCAGAAGCUGAAGAGCCAGAGGAAGGAACCCCGCCCCUCCAUCCUUUGCUCCAGGAGGUGGGAGGUCUGCAGGAAAACUGCCCAGGGGGAAAGGGCAGAGACCAGGGCAGCAACCGAGGGCAGCGAUCCUCAGGAGGGGGUGACCCCUGGGGGGAGGGUCUGCUCCCACACAGCGUCUCCUCAAGGGGUGGCAAGUGCUCCUCAUCCAAAUGAAUCUGUCUCUGUCUCCUGGGCCCUGCUCCGGGACCUGCCCCCAACGUUCUCUUGGGGACACCCAAGCCAGGACACCACUCAUCCCUGCUGAGUGUACAGAGGCUGGAGGCUUCUCGGGCAGCACCUGGCCCACACACUACUCACGGCAGAAAGUCAGCUUUUACUUUUCUUUCCCCUGGCGAUUCGGUUUUGGUGCACUCAUGCAUACCUUUGAGAAAGGAUUCUAGGACAAAGAGGUCUAUGUCAACAGUUGUUAUCUGGUAGAGCCAGUUUUCAAAGCUCCUUCAGCAUUGUCACUCGCUGAUCAGGUGAUGAAUUCUUCCUAGAUAGUCACCCACUCCACGUCCUACUUAACCUGAGACUCAUUGUUUAGCUAUUUCUGCUUUUGUAAGAAUAAUUUAGAUAUUAAACCCCAAUUUUAAUCUAUCAUCCAAGGGCAGAUGUAGUUGCUUAGUAGCAUUUUGGAAAAAAAAAAAAAAGGUUUGGUUUGGUUUUGUUACGGAGUUUUGCUCUUGUCUCCCAGGCUGGAGUGCAGUGGCACAAUCUCGGCUCACUGCAACCUCCACCUCUUGGUUCAACAGAUUCUCCUGUCUCAGCCUCCCAAGUAGCUGGGAUUACAGGCAGGAGCUACCACACCUGGCUAAUUUUUUGUAUUUUUAGUAGAGACUCGGUUUCACCACGUUGGUCAGGCUGGCUUUGAACUCCUGACCUCAGGUGAUCCACCCGCCUCUGUGUCCCAAAGUGCUGGGAUUACAGGCGUGAGCCGCUGAGCCCAGCCAAAAAAAAAAAUGUAUUUAUUUAAAAAAAAUUUUUUUUAACCCACCAAAUAAUUCCCAUAAGAGUAACAAAAAGGACCAGCCUGACCAACAUGGAGAAACUCCGUCUCUACUAAAAAUACAAAAUUAGCCGGGCGUGAUGGCGCAUGCCUGUAAUCCCAGCUACUCGGGAGGCUGAGGCAGGAGAAUGGCUAGAACCCGGGAGGCGGAGGUUGCCGUGAGUCGAGAUCGCGCCAUUGCAUUCCAGCCUGGGCAACAAGAGCGAAACUCCGUCUCAAAAAAAAAAAAAAAAGAGUAACAAAAAGAUAGGGAUUUUUGGGAGACAAUUAGAUAAAAAUGUAUGUGAUGACUGUAUAAGGGCUGUGUGUAUGAAUUUAUAGGGAGUAGAACCUUCUCUCUUCUUAGUUGGUGACUGGGGCUUAGUAUUUUAAUAGAUGAACACUAUUUUUUAAAUUUUUUAUUUUUUUAACCCUACCCUUAACCCAUGAACACUAUUUUUAAUUAAAGUAUCUGAUGUAAAAUUAUUUUGAGUUUUUAAUAUUUUGAUGAUAAAUGUGUAUUCCUGAAACUUUUUGACUUACUUAUCUUACAUGUGGUAUCUUCCUGUAUAUAGUACAUUAUAUCAAUUUCUACUUGAAAUAAAUAUUUUGAAA